rnacentral:lncRNA from 1 species
GUGAGGUUUAUUGAAUUGAUUGUUAAACAAAAUUGCAUGUAUUUCGAGUCUUCCAAAACAAUCUGCAUGUAUUUCGAGUCAUCAAACCAAUCUAAACUUAAAACUUUCUUAGUGCAAGUUUCAAAGAUAACACUCACAAAAUGGAUGGAUGGAGAAAUAUUGUGGUGGCAUAAAUUUCAGUAAAGAAACUACUUUCAAGUGACUAUUGCGCCAGACGGAAAAUGACGCUGGAGAGGAGGGGACGUGUUUGGAGUUAGCGUAAAGCCACGGCUUUGUGUGAUCAUUUGUGAUAUUUCAGAGUGUGUGGGCGAGUGAAUUAUUUGUCGACACGAUUGAGCUGCUAAAGUACAAAUAGAGCUUUAUCAUGGUUCAAACGUGGGGCAGAAGUUCGGUGGUUCGCAGUCAGCCUAGGGUUGUGCAGCCUUCACUGAAGAGGCACAGCCCGUCGCUGCAGGCGUUUGUGACGCCGCCGCGUCCAAAGACGCGCGCGCGACGCACACCACCCGGCACUGUGGCCCAUCCGGAGGCGACGUUCAAGCCGAUCGCGCCGGAGCGCGCCGCGUCCGCGCCGUCGAGUCCGGUGCGGUCCGAAGGUGGCUGGGAGUCGCCGUUCGCCGGUGCCAAGUUCAGCGAGCCUCCGGAGCCGCAGCAUUUGCCACGGCCGCCCACUCACUGGGCACCACAGAUCUCAGCCGCUGUCGGUGACGGCCUGCACGAUGCGUCUCGGCUGAAGGUGCUGCUGCAAGCCUGUGCCUGAGGCCGUGCCGCCGCUCGGCAAGUGGCCUCUUACGCUUUCAUCAGAGACUCAUGGAACGAAGAGUGCCGAAGCACACUCGGACACACGGCUCUUGGCUGUGCUGGGGCAGUCUGGUGGUUUCCGUCUUGCUUCCACACGCCCGUGGAAGAGGUUAUGACUGAAUGCAUGAAGAGGGAUGGUUGGGAGGAAUGGGUGGAUGUGUGGGUGGGUGUGCGUGCGACUUGACAGGCGCGUUUGUCAAGGUUUCUGUGAUGUGUUUUACGAUGCUCAAAAUAGUCGCUUCUUCCGGCAUUUUGGUAAUUGAUUGUUUCCGGCCCAUAUCAUUAGUCCUUUUACUGUUCAGAAAUUGAUUCGGUCGUUAUCGUAUUCUCUGUGUAGUCUUCAUUCAGUUAGCGUAAAAUGUGCUUCGUUCAGUGUGAGAGUUCAGUAUAGGCCAACACUUAAGUUAAGACUAUGCGCUUGUUUCAGCAAUUAGUGAUACCAGUGAUAAAUAUUCAUCGAUCUUUAUCACACUCGACAGCAUCAGCAGCAGACCAAAUUCGGUUAGUCAUUGGUAUCCUGUAUUCGGUUUUGGCCGUGUGCCUGUUAGUGUUGCGUCGGUAUAUUUGAUUGUGUGGCUGUCUAACGCCUGUCGGGGUCAGUGUCGAUCCCCUGUUCCCCUAUGGAGACGCCGCUGGCGUUUGGUUUUUACUGGGCCAGAGCGGGAUUCGGCAGCGCACGCUGGUGAUAGGCGCCAGCCGGCUGGUCCGGUUCGCCACAGCUGUUGGCGUUGGCCGGUCCUCGCGAUGCCCGGUGACUGAGCGACGGGAAUCUGCCAGCCAGCUCUCAGGCCACCCAUCUCCCCCGUAUCUCUGUUGUCGAGUGUGUCGAUAGAAUCCUCACGGUAUUGGCUGAUAGCGGCGGAGGCGUCCACGCCAGUGGCAAGUUUCUGGUUCUUGUGAUGCGCAAGCUCUAGUCAAGGAACUUUGCCACACGUGCGCCUUUUUACCUUGUAUAUAUCGCGUCUGUGAAGAUUUAUUUUUAUUAUUGUGGUAGGUUUUAACCGUUUCGGCGAGCUAUCGUUGGGCGGACCGCGUCGCGAACCCCCAAGGUUGUCUGUUUGGCGGCUUUGUGCGGUAGGGAAGAGUGCGCGUUCAGAUGCGAGGUGCCUUUGUCCGGUAGUACCUGGCCGUGUUGUCGCCACUUCA